rnacentral:rRNA from 1 species
UACGUGGGGUGCAAGCGUUAUCCGGAUUUACUGGGCGUAAAGCGUACCGUCGGCGGUUGUGUGUGUCUUUUGUUCAAGACUGGGGCCUAACUCCAGAACAGCAGGGGAAACUACACGACUAGAGUUUGUUCGGGGAACUUGGAAUUCUCGGUGGAGGGGUGAAAUCCGUAGAUAUCGAGAGGAACACCAUACGCGAAGGCAGGGUUCUAGGACAUAACUGACGCUCAGGGACGACAGCUUGGGGAGCAAACGGG